rnacentral:rRNA from 1 species
GACGAACGCUGGCGGGGUGCUUAACACAUGCAAGUCGAACGGAAAGGCCCUGCUUUUGUGGGGUGCUCGAGUGGCGAACGGGUGAGUAACACGUGAGUAACCUGCCCUUGACUUUGGGAUAACUUCAGGAAACUGGGGCUAAUACCGGAUAGGAGCUCCUGCUGCAUGGUGGGGGUUGGAAAGUUUCGGCGGUUGGGGAUGGACUCGCGGCUUAUCAGCUUGUUGGUGGGGUAGUGGCUUACCAAGGCUGUGACGGGUAGCCGGCCUGAGAGGGUGACCGGCCACAUUGGGACUGAGAGACGGCCCAGACUGCUACGGGAGGCAGCAGGGGGGAAUAUUGCACAAUGGGCGGAAGCCUGAUGCAGCAACGCCGCGUGCGGGAUGACGGCCUUCGGGUUGUAAACCGCUUUCGCCUGUGACGAAGCGUGAGUGACGGUAAUGGGUAAAGAAGCACCGGCUAACUACGUG